UACGGCUUCGUCUUCAGUUUGUAACAUUUAUUUAAUUUUAUUAGAGUAUCAAUAGUCCCAAAUGAAACACUCGUGUGAAAACCUAAUUAUUGCUUCAAGAUAAGAGUUAAUGUAUAAAUACGAGACAGAUUGAAUAUUGGCACAAUAAUGAAGUCGACGCUGUUGCUAUUAAUAGUCAUUCUCAGCCUGGUGGGAUUGGCACCAGCUAAGCCACUAAGUCCAAGAACUUAUACUUGUACUGUCGCCUGCGACUAAUGGGGCUGAUAAAAGGAGUUUAAUAAAAAUAAUAUAUUUGCCAAGAAAUACACUUGUGAAACUUU